GACCUGCUGCUCUAGCUCACUUACUUUAGAGAAGAAACAUCUACCAAAGUAGGUCUAGAGCUAGAGGUCUCACUAAUUCUAAUUCUCCAGUGGUUUGAGGACCUCAUUCUUCUGCAUCUCAAAACCUCAGUUCAUUUGCAGAUUGACUCAGAUCUUAAUGCUGAUAGCACUGUCUCUUAAUUUAUAUCAGCCUGCCAAAUUAGUUACCUUUUUAUUACUAUUACUUUUUGUUGCUGUUUUUUGAUCAGGGUUUCCCUAUGUAUCUAUAACUGUCCUGGAACACUCUCUGUAGACCAGGCUGGCCUCAAACUUAGAGAUUUACCCACCUUUGCUUGCCGAAUGCUGGGAUUAAAGGCAUGUGGCUUCUUAUUAAAAGCAAUCUAUAAAAGAUUUCUGUAGAUGCCUUAUACAAAUCAAAUCUUAGUAAUGAAAAAUUCCAUCAAAACGACUAUACAAAGCCCAAAGUAGAUUAUUUUUUUCUUUAAAAUAUUCAGUAUAAAGCUGACAUGGUGGUAUACCCUGUAAAUUCAGCACACUGAGGCCAGAGAACAUGAUGAUUGCCAUGAUUGAAGCCAGUUUAGGCUACAAAAGAAGAUCCUGUAGUAGUAGUAGUAAUAAUAAUAAUAAUAAUAAUAAGCUCAACGUGGUGAAAGGAAAUAAAAUGCACAUUCAUUACAGGGCGUAAAGGCUGUUUUGGCUGAAAGCUAUGAAAAAAUACACAAAGAUCAUUUGAUUGGAAUUGGUAUAGCACCUCUUGAGUUCCUCCCAGGAGAAAAUGCAGAUUCCUUGGGCCUCUCUGGUAGAGAAGUAUUUUCUUUAUCAUUUCCUGAAGAACUCUUUCCUGGAAUUACAUUAAAUAUAAAGACGAGUACUGGAAAAGAGUUCAACGUGAUUGCAUCAUUUGAAAACGAUGUGGAGAUAACUUUGUAUAAACAUGGAGGCUUAUUAAACUUUGUGGCUCGAAAAUUCUUAUAGUAUCUACUUGCUGUGGUAUCUUUCGUGACUGGUAACUACAAAGCCUUCUGUGCUGGAUCCAGGAAUCAUUGCCGUGGAACUGCAGAUAAUUUCAGUAUACUUAUCUCAUCCAUGGAUGUAAAUGAUAAUGAAUCAAUGUAGUGACUAAAAUGAAAUCUUGAUUUUAAAUAAUAUAUGAAUGGUGCUAUUAACAUUGCUAAAAUCACCGUGUGAAGUGUGUUGUGGAAGAGACCUGUAAGUAUGGGGGGGGAUAUAUUUUAUGAGAACAUUUUGUAAAUAAAGACAGAAUUUGAACUUGUGUUGAAGAUUCUUAUGAAUAGCUGUUCUAAAGCUGUUUGUUUUGUUUUGCACCUUUAAAACUGGACUACUGUUUGUUGGUUGAAGAAUAGCAAGUUGAAAUAGAAGAAUCCAGACUAGACCCUAAAAUUGUGGAAAUGGGUACCUGAUUUAUAAGUGAAUUUUUAAGUGUUUUUCUUUCCAUAAUUGAAUUGGACACAGUUGGCAUUCCUAGUUUGUAAUGUAAGUCUGGUUUAGCCUUAGUGUCAGUAUGUCUGCAAGGCGUAGAACAUGCCUCAGAUCACAGUCCGUCUGACCACUCCAGCCAAAAUGUAAUCCAUGUCAGAAGAUACAUGCAAAAUAUAACUGAUUGUGAGGUACCAUGUAUUAGUAAAAAUAUAUUUCCUAUAAUACAGCGCUGUAUUUUUUUCAGUAAUUUGCCACUAUGACCCUCUUGGAAGCCCAAAUACUGGUAUAUUAAUUGGGACUAGAUUUUGCUCAUUUUACAUGUUACUGUAACUCUUGUAACCUCAAGUAGGUAUCACCAACUGACAUUCCACACUUCUUUUAUAAAUGCUGGAAACAAUUUGAAUCAAACUCUAGAUUUUCUUUAGACUUAUAAAUUAUCCAUCAAAAAUUAUGGAUAUGUACCCCUAAGGGUUUGUUUUGUUUGUUUUGUUUUUUAUUUUUUACAGUCUUUUAAGUUGACUUCUUGCUAUUUGGGUCUUUAUUUUAUCUGAGAUAAAUCACUCUGUUAAUUUCAUUAUUUCUUUUUUUAAUCAAAAUUGACCAUAAAGAUGAGACACUUGGGAGUCACUGCUGCUUGGGCGUCUGUCACAUGUUUGCAGUUGCAUCUGUAUCUGUUACACCACCUCACAGGCUUAGUCCAUGGUUAACAUCCUUUUAAAAGGUGGGAAAUUAAUUUUAGAAAGUCCUAUACCUUCUUUUAAUAAGUUAAACUUAGCAGCAAAAAGUUAAGUAGUUUUUUUUUUAAUUUUUUAAAUUUGAUCUGUUCUUGUACAUUUCACAAAAUGAAAAGUCUUUGUUUUAGGCUAAACUUAGGAACUACCGAACCAGUGGGUGAAGAGUACUGAGAACUUCACUGGUGGUCAGUUGUACAGUCUUUUGAAAGUAUUUUUCAACUAUGUACUGAGUUGGACUAGAGUUUGGCAAAACUAGCCCCUUUAGUAAGUGCUUUCUGUGCUACUUUGAAACCAUACUGUGUUCUGGUAGAUGCCCUGUGUCUGUCUGCAUGUGUGUUAAUCUGUGGAAGCCUGAAUCAAGAAUGGAGAAUUUACAAGUUGAGUAUUAAAAUACUGGUACAUGCUUUGAAAAAAUGAGAAUUCCAGAUGUAUAUAUGGAACAUUUUCUGUCAUAUUUUGAAGGCAUACUCAGUCUGUAGUCUGAGCUACAGCUCUGGACAUAAAUGUCUGAAAAGUGGUAAACUUGCUAUGAAUCAGACAUUAAUUAUUAAUCAAACGUUUCCACUUCAGUAAUGGCAUAGAAAUUGCAUUUUAGGAACAAAUUGAAGGUUCUCUUAAUCUCUCACCUAGAAACAGUGAGCUAAACUCUGGAUAAGCAUGGUUUUAAACAUGGGACCAAAAUCAAGUACAUGUCCCAUUGUGUGUAUCUUGUGAUUCUCUGCCUCCAGCCAAAUAAUGCAAAAAUGUGGCACCUGUUUUUAUUGUGUUACUUUCUUUGUUGACUCUUUAAGUUGUUUUCUAAAAAUUACCAAUAUUUGGAGAAAGAAAGUGAACACAAAAAAGCAAAUCAGUAUUUUGAAUGUAGCACAGUUACCGACAGCAGCAUUUUAGUCUCUUAAGAACGUUGUGCUCCAUGCUGUUGUGUGCCUUAGUUGAGCUGCCCAUACAAAUGAAGGAAAGGAAAGGCCCCCAGCCACUGGACUGCCAUUGUUAGUUAUUCCUUCGUGGUUCCCAAGAUGGCAGGCACCUCUGUUAGUACACAGAUGAGAGCACAGCUUCUCCUCACCACACUGCUUGGAUUUUCACUGGGAUUGUACUAAAAGUGUAAAGCUAAGAGCUCGGCCAGAGUCAGUUACCUGCUUACAUGGUAGCGAUGUGGUGUUCAUUCCUCUUCUCCAUGGUAAGUGACAGGAUGAGAAAAGCUGACAUUUUUCAGGACCUUUUUACUUUGAGUCUAGAGAGAAGAUGCUAAGCCACUGGAUAAUGAUAUUGUAUUUGAUUUGGGAGGUAAAAACCAGGGAAGGAACUGAACGUUGGCUUUUUUUUUAGUGGAGUGUUUUCCCCUUCAAGGUGACUGUGCUGAUUUGUUUUGGUUUUGUUUGUUUUAUCAACUUUAUGCAUAAUAUGUGAGUAAAACCAUAUAUAUCUCUUCAGUAACUAUAAAUCAUUGUUAUUUAAAGCCAACAAAAUAGCAUAACAGUUUGAAGUUCAAUAAUGUUAAGUACUGUAUAGAAAUAUAUUGGAGGUAAAGUUCAGUUAUGAAAUUGUGUAUAUGUUAUUGAUGCUGUAAAUUAUUUUUAAUAAAGAAAAUUGUAUUAUCA